GGAUGAUGUUAAUAUUCAUCAGCCCCCCCUGUAAUCUAUGGUGACGGCUCGGGCAAAGUCAUGAGAUCAUAUGUCAGGUCUCAUGAUACCAAGCUUCUGGAGAACUGUUAUAGUGAGAAGGAAGUGAAGUCCUGGGUCCCAUGAAAAGCCACAGGGGGUGACCGUACCGAGAACUGACACAGGUGCCCCUGGGUGAGUAGCCUAAGGUGUAUCGGAUACAAAUAUCGCGAGGGAACUCGGCAAAAUAGCUCCGUAACUUCGGGAGAAGGAGUGCCAGCUUAGGAAUAAGCUGGUCGCAGUGACCAGGGAGCUCCGACUGUUUAAUAAAAACAUAGGGGACUGCCAGAUCGAAAGGUUGUGUAUAGUCCCUGAAUCCUGCUCAGUGCUGGUAUCUGAAACCGGGUUUCAACCUGGCGAAGGACCAGUAAACAGCGGGGGUAACUAUGACCCUCUUAAGGUAGCGUAAUACCUUGUCGCUUAAUUGGCGACUUGCAUGAAUGGUCCAACGAGGGCUCCACUGUCCCCGCGAUAUGUCCGGCGAAAUUGACUUUACUGGCGCACAGUCCAGUACCUUCAACCCGCAAGCGAAGACCCCAUAGAGCUUUACUGCAGCCUGUCGUUGCAUAGUCGCUUUCCAUGUACUGUGUAGGUGGGAGACGUUGAUCCCGAGGACGCCAGUCCUUGGAGUAGUCGAAACAAGAGACACCACCCUUGGAGAGUAACUAUGCUAACUGUUUAUCAGAACACCGAUAGGUGGGCAGUUUGGGUGGGGCGCCACGCGCUCGAAAACCUAACAAGCGUGCCCAAAGGUCAGCUUAGGUGGUUCAGCACUCCACCGUUAACUGUAAGGGGAAAAGCUGGCUUGACGUGGAUCUGCACAAUAAGGAUCGACGAUGCGAAAGCAGGGCCUAACGAACCUACCAGCCUCAUUUCUGGGGGCGGUAGAUAACAGAAAAGUUACCUUGGGGAUAAUUGAGUUGUCACCAGCAAGAGCUCACAUCGACCUGGUGGCUUGCUACUUCGAUGUCGUCUCUUCCUAUCCUGGGUCUGCAGCAGGACCCAAGGGUGGGGUUGUUCGCCCAUUAAAAGGGAUCGUGAGAUGGGUUUAGACCGUCGUGAGACAGGUUUGUUGCUUGGUGGUUGAAGUGUUUAGUGUCUGAUGGAAGGGGCCCUUCAGUACGAGAGGAACGAGGGCUCGGGGCCACUAGUUUACCAGUUGUCUGACAAGGCAAUGCUGGGUAGCCACGCCCUGACGGAUAAGAGCUGAAAGCAUCUAAGCUCGAAGCCACCCCAAAAACGAGACACAUAUUCAUUUCUCGUAGAAGACGAGUUUGAUAGACUGCGGAUGUAAGUACGAAGCUUCGGCGACGUAUUCAGUCCAGCAGCACUAAUAAUGAAGCAACUACUUUU
rnacentral:rRNA from 1 species